GUUUGAUCCUGGCUCAGAACAAACGCUGGCGGCGUGCCUAACACAUGCAAGUCGUACGAGAAAAUCCGCUUCGGCGGGUGAGUAAAGUGGCGCACGGGUGAGUAACGCGUGGAUAAUCUGCCCUUGAGUUUGGAAUAACUCACCGAAAGGUGGGCUAAUACCGGAUAACGCUGUUUCGCUCCGGCGAAGCAUCCAAAGGGGGCCUCUAUUUAUAAGCUCUCGCUUAAGGAUGAGUCCGCGUACCAUUAGCUAGUUGGCAGGGUAAAAGCCUACCAAGGCGACGAUGGUUAGCUGGUCUGAGAGGAUGAUCAGCCACACUGGAACUGAGAUACGGUCCAGACUCCUACGGGAGGCAGCAGUGAGGAAUCUUGCGCAAUGGGGGAAACCCUGACGCAGCAACGCCGCGUGAGUGAGGAAGGUCUUCGGAUCGUAAAGCUCUGUCGGGUAGAAAGAAAGGCAGGGAAGCCAAUACCUUUUCUGUUUGACGGUACUACCAGAGGAAGCACCGGCUAACUCCGUGCCAGCAGCCGCGGUAAUACGGGGGGUGCAAGCGUUGUUCGGAAUUAUUGGGCGUAAAGAGCGUGUAGGCGGCUUGAUAAGUCAGAUGUGAAAGCCCUGGGCUUAACCCAGGAAGUGCAUUUGAAACUGUCUCGCUCGAGUAAGGAAGGGGGAAGUGGAAUUCCUGGUGUAGAGGUGAAAUUCGUAGAUAUCAGGAGGAACACCGGUGGCGAAAGCGACUUCCUGGUCCUA
rnacentral:rRNA from 1 species